UGUUUUUGUAAUGUACCUUGUACGACCUUUUGUUUGAUAUUCGACAGGCAUACCUUCUGAAACUUUUCGCUUUUUACAUUAAAUGACCUCAUCCGCCUACAUUUUUGAGAUCAGAAGUAUGAUAUAUGUAACAAAGACUUAAUGAUCCUUCAUUUAAUAUGCAACAACAAAGAAAUAUAGAUUUCUACACUUAAUAACCCCAUCCAUCUAAUUUUUGGAGGUCAGGAAUUCGAUAUUUCAAAUGUACACAUCAUGACCUUUCAUUUCAUAUACAACAACCUUAUCUUAAAAGAAAUUUAUUUUUUUGCCCUUAAUGACCCCACUCAACCAAUUUUUUGGGGAUGUCAAUUUGAAAUUUGAAAUGUAAGCUUUAUGUUCUUUCAUUUGAUAUGCGACAACCUUACCAUCUGAGAAAUUUGAAUUUUUGCACUAAAUGACCCCACCCUUCCCCCUGGGAUGAAAAAGGGGUAAAACAUUUUUAAUUAAGUAGAGUUUAUUAAGACCUUCAAUUUGAUAUAUCAGAUGACCCCAUUUGUCAAUGUGCCAAUAAUGAUGCAAUAUCAACUAUAUAAAUAGAAGUUAUGAAACUUACAAAGUCAAUGCAAAACUUGAAAAUUUCAAAUUGAUUUUUUGGUGUUUUUUUCCAUGAAAUGUUUUUGGUAUUUGUCAAACUUAUAACUAUUUUAACCUCUUCAAUUUCUAAAACAUUUUAAGUGGUAAGCUGUUGUUGAAUCAGAAAUACAUGCCCCUGCUCGCAAAACUUCAAACUGCAUUAUCUCUAAAACGACAAUACCGGUAGAUAUCUCAAAUCUGUUAAAUGAUAAAUGAUCUGCAGUUGAAGCACAUCAUUGUAGAAAAAAAAUAGGGACAAUUCCAAAGUUUAUCUUUGUACUCUCAAAUGGAUGAUGAAAUCUUACGCAGCCUCAUAUGGUAAUACAUCAUGAUGAGAUCUACCUAUUGUCCAGAUGAAGGUCAUGAUAUCUUUAUGAGGGGGGCCAUGUCAAAAAAAUGAUGGAAG
rnacentral:lncRNA from 1 species